AUCGCUUCUCGGCCUUUUGGCUAAGAUCAAAGUGUAGUAUCUGUUCUUAUCAGCUUAAUAUUUACUCACUCGUGUUGCAAUGAAGUCCUGUGUAUCCUGCGAGGCAGAUGCAGUGUUUGGUGUCCUGACAUUUCAUAUUGGGGCAAGGUUGAUUGGGCGGACACUCU
rnacentral:snRNA from 1 species